rnacentral:tRNA from 1 species
GUCUAUGUAGUAUAUUUAUUACACUGGUCUUGUAAACCAGAAAAGAGGAACAAUAAUUCCCCCAAAGACU